rnacentral:rRNA from 1 species
CCUACGGGAGGCUGCAGUCGAGAAUCAUUCACAAUGGGGGAAACCCUGAUGGUGCGACGCCGCGUGGGGGAAUGAAGGUCUUCGGAUUGUAAACCCCUGUCAUGUGGGAGCAAAUUAAAAAGAUAGUACCACAAGAGGAAGAGACGGCUAACUCUGUGCCAGCAGCCGCGGUAAUACAGAGGUCUCAAGCGUUGUUCGGAAUCACUGGGCGUAAAGCGUGCGUAGGCUGUUUCGUAAGGCGGGUGUGAAAGGCGCGGGCUCAACCCGCGGACGGCACAUGAUACUGCGAGACUAGAGUAAGGGAGGGGGAACCGGAAUUCGCGGUGUAGCAGUGAAAUGCGUAGAUAUCGAGAGGAACACUCGUGGCGAAGGCGGGUUCCUGGACAUUAACUGACGCUGAGGCACGAAGGCCAGGGGAGCGAAAGGGAUUAGAUACCCCUGUAGUC